AAUCAACGCUGGCGGCGUGCCUAACACAUGCAAGUCGCACGAGAAAGCGGACUUCGGUCUGCAAGUACAGUGGCGCACGGGUGAGUAACACGUGAAUUAUCUACCUUCGAGUGGGGAAUAACCUCGGGAAACCGAGGCUAAUACCGCAUAACACUUACGAGUCAAAGCAGCAAUGCGCUUGAAGAGGAGUUCGCGGCAGAUUAGUUAGUUGGCGGGGUAAUGGCCCACCAAGACGAUGAUCUGUAUCCGGCCUGAGAGGGCGCACGGAAACACUGGAACUGAAACACGGUCCAGACUCCUACGGGAGACAGCAGUGGGGAAUUUUGCGCAAUGGGGGAAACCCUGACGCAGCAACGCCGCGUGGAGGAUGAAAUCCCUUGGGAUGUAAACUCCUUUCGAUCGGGACGAUUAUGACGGUACCGGAAGAAGAAGCCCCGGCUAACUUCGUGCCAGCCGCCGCGGUAAGAC
rnacentral:rRNA from 1 species